GCACCGCUUUGACUAUUCUUUCGUUUUAUCUAGCUCCGUGGCCCCUUUCUAGAAAAAUCCCGUGGUAAUACCACUCCAAUCUUUACUAAUUUCCUCACCGUUCUUUCUGUGCAUUAUCUUCCCCACCACAGCGAGCUCAUCCAUGGCAGAUCCCCUAACACGGCUACACCUUCACCGGCUUCCCCUCGCCGGAGCUCCGCCUUGCCCCCCCCCCCCCGCGCUGAGGUCCUCUCUACCCGACGACCCCCUGCGUAGAACGAGCUGCGCUGACCUCGACCCCCGUGCGAGGAUGGAAGAUACAGCCGUUGCGACCUGGUGUCGAAAGGCUCUUUAGGCGGCCGGCGAUCUCUGGCACGGGCGGUGGAGCCAGCCACUUGGGUCGGAGGUGGGCGACGAGGCUGGCUACGACUGUGGCUUCCUCGAGCAGUUCCCACAGCUAGGUUGGCCAUGACAAAUACCGGCGAUCCGACUGUGCCGGCAGACAUCCCACUCCCGUAGCGGAGCCGGCAGCAUCGUGGAUCUCUACGUAAAUUCGUCGGGCCAUGAGGAUACUGACGCGGACUACAGUCUAAGACAGGCACGCCUUGCCCUUCGGUCAAGACAUUGUUGAGGCAGGUGCGCUCAGCCUUGAUCUUCAGUUCUUCACACGCAGCGUCACAGAAGUUCAAUUUGAUGGCUCCACCUAGGAUUCGUGUCUCCUCCAACCUCAGCCGCGUUGCUGCAAUAUUUUGCAGGUUGCUGUCUUCUUUACGGUUGAUGUGCUGCUAGAUCAUUUGGUCGACAUGUGGCGCUUGCGUUCGUGCAUUGACGGACAAGGAGCACAAAGCGACUCAAAAGGUGGAAUAUCAAAUUGAACAUCUCAAGGCAGUAAGCUUGACAGAGAAUAUAAAGAGGUUUCAAGAAGUGAUGCUCCAUCUGUUAUACUUUUGUCUUCUAAUUAAUCAGUAUUGGGGAUACCAUGGUGCUCCAAAGGAGACUCCCAACUUCCCCUAAAAGAUCAUUGGCUUAUAUUAUUGAUGGUAAUACUUAUUCACUAAUGUUCGGAAAGCAAAAUUAUUAAGCAGUUAAAUUGUAUCCAAAUAGUGUCUUGUAAUUCUUGAAACGCUGACUGGUCUUUUCUCUCAUCCAACAAAAUAAUUCCUCUUGGAUUAUUGUUAAUGUUCUCACGUAUUUCACAUUGGUCCAGAGUUUUCUUUGGUUGCAUCAGAAAAGAAGGCAGAAAAUGAAUAUUUUCUCCAUUCUUAAUGUUCAGUAUAUAAUAAUAUUGACAUUCUUGGAACUUCUCAUGUCGUUCAACCGUUCUUAUUUGACAUUGGACUGACAUUUUUAUCAUGAGACAAGUUAAAAUUUGCGCUGGGCUAGAAAGAAAGCAGUAUGUGCUCUAUAUACAGACCGGACUGAAAUUCAGAUGGAAGAUACACAUUUGCAUGUAUAGUUUCUCUUGCGUUUGAAUAAGUACAUGUACUAUUUAAUCUCGCUCCCACUAUUUUGAGGUUGGUAUAUCACAAAUAGGUAGAAUUUGGAGGUAACCUAGAACAAACAUCGGAAUUAGAAGUCAGGAUGUUUACUUUUUGUGCCCAGUAUUGAUAAAUGACUAAUUGCUUUUGGCGAUGUUGAUGAUCUAAACGAGCGCGGGAGAUGUGAAAAGUUGUUUUAUAGCUCUGUGAUUAGACGCUUUCUGAUUAUACCUCUAUAUUCUCAGUAAUUUACUUCAAGCAUGUAGUUAGGACGAACUUGAGUUUGUAGUCUGACAAGUAAUUAAUGAAAUUGUGGCUUAAUAAUAUUUUGCUCAAACAUUUAGGAGCAUAGAGGCACUGUGUCAAAAUAAGUGUUCUAAUUGAUAUAUAUACUCUCAGCAAUUUACUACAACCAUGCAGUUAGGAUGCAUUUAAUGUUGUAGCCUAACAAUUAAUAAAUGAAACUGUGGCUUAAGAACAUCUUGCUCAAAUAUUUAGGGGCGUAGAUGCACCCUGUCAAGAUAAGCGUUCAUAAUGAUAUCUGAAACCUGUCUUUUGUUGUUUAUAGUGUCAUUUGAAAGGUCAGCAAUUACACUAAUGCAGACAUGGAUACCAGAUCCUGCCGAGGAUCUUGACACCUGGUUCGAAACAGCUAUCGCUAAUGCAGAUUCCUCAGUUCAGUAGGGAGCCAAAUUGUUCAUCCUGCUUACCAUAUGGAGAUUAUGGAAUGUGCGCAAUGACGCUAUCUUCAAAAACAUAGGAAAGUCUGUGCGAGAGAAAAAGAACAGGCAGCCAGGCAGGCGCUUAACUUAUAAAUUUUAAGCAAUUCUUUUUGUGAUUAUUUGGGACAUACUGCUAAUCAAGGAACUGAACAUCUAUUAAAUCAAGGAACUAAACAACUAUUAAAUGUUGGACAUUUCCAUUAACCAUGCCCAGUAAUUGUUUUACCUCUUCAACUGUACUGUUGGUUAAGAUGCAGGAUAAAAGCAUCCAAGAUGAGGAGUUCAUAUUCACCAACAAGGAAUGGACAAAUCUACAGCAGCAAUGGCGUCAUCUCUCUUCUUUUGUGAAAGGUCAAAAUUUUCUGUCCAGCAAGAUCCUCAACUGUGAUAGUGAGUGAUUUUUUUUAUAUCUUCCCCUUGUAGAAGAAGCCUUUGGUCAAAACCAGGAUUUUAUUCUGCUCUAGGAAAUCCUCUCUCUUAAUAAUGAGAGUGACGCUUGGUCUUAUCAAUGGAAAACUCUAGGUUUUAGUACUUGUAAGGUGUAUAAAGAUCUAACUGCACUCAGUUAUCCAUACAAAUUAUCUAUUAUGGAAAUCAUGCAGUGAACUCAGAACACAUUUUUCUGGCUUUUACUUGGGAUACACAUUGUAGAUGAGAGAGUUUCUUUUUGGAAGAUUAUAUGUGUCUUUUGUAACGAGCUAAAGAUCCAAGCUACAGAUUUUUUCGUGGUACCAUUAAAUUAUGUCGGUUGUCCCUUUCAAUAUGGAAGAUAUUACAUCACUAGCUUCAAAUGUUUGUUGCUGCACGAAUGACUUUAUAUUCAAAAACUUUCAACCAUGAGUUUACAGAUGCUUGAAAAUAUUCAAGGCUAAGGGGGUUCUUCUAUAGAGACUCCAUGAUCUUACCUGGCAAUAAGCAGUUGGAUGCUGGUUCCUCUUAUAGAACAUCGUUGUGCUAACUCCUAUUGCAGCCAAGAAUACUCUAACUACAUGUACCUUUUUUUGUGUACUUUAUCCUUGUUGGACAUGGUUAUAUAUCCAUUGUUUAUCCGAUCUGUGUUCAUGUAUUCAAACUUCUGAUUCAUUGUUGCCAAAAUGGGGUUCUUCCCCACCGUUUAUAUGUUGUGUGAGCUUACCUGCUAUCAUGUACUCCAACCGCUGAUUCAUUUGUUGUAAGUUAGAGUUUUUCUUCUUAGAAACUCCUUAAUUAUUAUGCUCUGUUCUCUCUUUCUUACAUAUUGUUUUCUAAGGUCUGUCUGCUCUUCUAUAUUCACAACAGAUGGCUCUUUCUCUAAUAAUUUCUCUCAAUGUGAAGGCUUAUCUAACCAUAACUGACAAGGAAGUUAUGUGAAUUAGUGAGGAGCUGAGUUUUAGCUUUGCUGCUGAUGGUACUUACUCCACCAAUAAUGAGCACUUUUUAUGACUUGGAGCGAUUGUUACCGAUACUAAGAUUGGGGUCUUGCAGUUUGGUGCACAAAUUCAAAUUGACGGUGGUCAACGCGAUGACAGCUGAGUGGUUCUAAUGGGUUUCCAGUUUUCAGCUUAGGCAUUCAUUUAUGAUUGUUUUUGUUCUGCGGUGUCACAAAUGGCAGAAGGCUGCUUGACAGAUAUUCAGUGUACGGGAGAUGAUAUAUCUUUGCAGAUUGGGUCAUCUUUGGGCAAUUUACUACAUAAUUCCCACUGAGUACUUGCACGUUAAGUUGUUGUUAUGUUUGAUAGGAAUAAUGGACAUUCUUUGGCCUCCAAUAUUGGUACCGAGUCUAUUCCUGCUCAAA